AGGCGACCGACGCUGAAAGGGCCGCGGAGUCGCGUGUCAGGGCUGGAGGGAGAUCUUGAGAUCACUUCAAACUUAAGUGAGCUCAGGUUCAUCUGGAGGAUGACUCGGCCUCUGUGUGAGGAGGAUGGGCCAGAGAGUGACUUGCACAUCACUUAGUGAGAAGUGAAGUCAGGAUCUGAAUCCAGGCAGGCUGAUUCCAGCAUCAACAUCACCACUUAGAACUGGACCUCCCCUUCCCUCUGCCCUCCUCUGACUCAGCCACAUGCCAGAAGCACACGACGCUUGUCACAACACAGGACUUGCACUGCCUGAUUUGGAGUCUCUCGUCCCACCUGACGAGAAAUACCCACAGGUGUGGAGGGGCUGGCCCCCUUCACCUGGGUCUCGACUCCUGUUUUGUUCUACGGUUCCCAUUGCAGUGCUGUGAUCCCCCAGAAGCUCAGGAAAACAACUGACUUCCUGGUGUUGCCAACAGGCAGAGAGGAGAUGCAGCCAGUCCUUACCCUGUAGAAGAUGGGGAGGGAGUCCCAGGUGUACGGAUAAGCAAAGGCGAGGACACGAAUCACCUUACAGAGUCUGGGCUUCUGGAUUUCAAGAAACCUAAAUCAGGGAAGGAAAGUGGGGAGGAAAUGGAAUGAAAAGAGUAUCAGCAAAUUGCAUACGCACAUGCAUGCACACCGAGGGCCUGGUCAUCAACAGAGGACAAGCAUUUUUCUACAAGCUCCUGUGGCCAGCAGCUUCUCCACCAGCCUCGUCCAUUCCUCCCACCCCAAUGGAAGUGACAAAACUUCAGAUGCAAAAAGAUCUCCAGGGACACCAUCUCCUGACCAUGGGAAGCAGUGGUGUCCAGACUAAGCCAGAAAGGAGGCGCUGGGCAGAAACCCUUCAAGGGCCAAGUUAUGUAACUGCCAAAGAACCUUUUAAAACUCUAGUUGCUACAGGGACAGGGAACGGGUAGGGGGAAUCAGGGGAUCCACUGCCACAGACUCUUGGGGGGCACACUCUGCAAAGGCUGAGAUGCACCCAUCUAGUUGGAGCCCAGGUAUUAUCAUGCAGGAGACCUGGGUUCAAGUAGGUGUUUGACCCUUGGAGAGCUUUCUGGAAUAUUUAUACCACACACAGGGAUACUUGGCUUGGGAAAACUAAAUAAACGUGAGGUCUUUC